GACAGAGGAUGCAAGCGUUAUCCGGAAUGAUUGGGCGUAAAGCGUCUGUAGGUGGCUUUUUAAGUCCGCCGUCAAAUCCCAGGGCUCAACCCUGGACAGGCGGUGGAAACUACCAAGCUGGAGUACGGUAGGGGCAGAGGGAAUUUCCGGUGGAGCGGUGAAAUGUGUAGAUAUUGGAAAGACCACCAAUGGCGAAGGCACUCUACUGGGCCAUUACUGACACUGAGAGACGAAAGCUAGGGGAGCAAAUGGG
rnacentral:rRNA from 1 species